rnacentral:rRNA from 1 species
UCCAGACUCCUACGGGAGGCAGCAGUGGGGGAUAUUGCACAAUGGGGGGAACCCUGAUGCAGCGACGCCGCGUGGGUGAAGGAGCGUUUCGGCGCGUAAAGCCCUAUCGGCAGGGAAGAAGGAGGACGGUACCUGACUAAGAAGCCCCGGCUAACUACGUGCCAGCAGCCGCGGUAAUACGUAGGGGGCAAGCGUUAUCCGGAUUUACUGGGUGUAAAGGGGGCGCAGACGGCAGCGCAAGCCAGGAGUGAAAGCCCGGGGCCCAACCCCGGGACUGCUCUUGGAACUGCGCGGCUGGAGUGCAGGAGGGGCAGGCGGAAUUCCUGGUGUAGCGGUGAAAUGCGUAGAUAUCAGGAGGAACACCGGUGGCGAAGGCGGCCUGCUGGACUGCGACUGACGUUGAGGCCCGAAAGCGUGGGGAGCAAACAGGAUUAGAUACCCGCGUAAG